rnacentral:lncRNA from 1 species
GGGAGAUGGAAGGAGGAGAGAGGAGAGUAGGAGGAGAGGAUCUUACUACUUAGACCCUCACACUUGAGGAUGACUCACAUGGCAAACACAUGGCACACGCAGACAUGCAACACACACACUGACUGUUCCUGAUCUGACUGGCUCAUAAAGACCUCUUGCUUCAGUGUGUCCUUAAAGAAAGCAGAGCUAGGUUUCAACCCGUCUUAAACACAUAGAAACAGAUCAUAUAGGAUGUAUAUAGUUAUGUAUGAUAUAUAGAGGUUGAAAUGGAAUGCGCAUACAUGUGGAAGUGACCUUGGGAAGGGAUGACCUUAUCAAUAUCUGCCUGCAAGCAUGAUCUGUUACAUUCUGAAGGAUGCUCCAUGUAUAGUGUUCCAUGAAGGUGACAUUGGUGGUUACGCACACACAAAGACACACACACAAGCACACACAGAUUACAUUGAUGCAUAUGGGUGAUACACACACACAAUGGAAUAGUGCGCCUGAUUUUCCCCCAAGCCAUGUUCCCUGUGACGCUAAGUAAUGUACGUACAUGAGUGACAUAAGUACAGUGUGUGUGUGUGUGAAUGUGCUCAAAGCUCCAAAGCAUCUAGUUUGUUACCUGCCCAGUUCAACCUGCUCCAGGUGUGGUGGCCUGGAUACAGUGACCAGGUAAGACCAUCCAUGACCGCCUGUCCCAAAUGGCAUCCUAUUCCCUUCAUAGUGCACUAGUUUUGACCAGGGCCCAUAGGGCUCUGGUCAAAAGUAGUGCACUACAGAAUGGUAGGGAAUAGGGUGCCAUUUGGGACGGUGACUACUAAAAAUCGCACUCAUCUCAAGGCUCCAUGUAGAUGUGAUGGUUGCUAUGUAUCGCCCCCACCUCCUUAGUUACCCCCCAACUGCUACAAUACCUUCAACUUCACACAAUAGAGAAAGAGGCUUCAGGUUAUAUGGAUUAUGAUCAGGGAUUAUUUCAGAUAUUCUUUUUUAGUUGAAUUGGAAUUUAGAUGCAUUUUUGUUAUGAGAGAUCAUCUGAAGGUGGGCAUAUUCAUUUUGCAUCCAAGCAUAUGAAGACAUGUUUUUAAACCCUCUUUCAGUGUAUAUGACUGAAGUGUUGAGCAUUAUGCAGUCCAUUUCAGUGCUCAAAACAUAAUGACUAGAGUUUAAGUAUAGCCUUCAUGUAGGUAUUGUAUUACACUGUUAUUUAACUUCACAUAAUUCUUCAUUUGAUAAUCGGUCAAGGAAAAGCAAAGAUUAAUGAGUGUGAUCGACACAGUGUGUGCAACUUGUGCGGUUCUGCUGAUAUCCCACUAGCUGCCUGUAUUCAGUUUGACUGUGUUUCUCCAGAGCUCCGAGGAAAGCAUCAGUUGACAGUUUCAAGCUCCCCCUAGCUGAAUUGAUUCUACUAUGAGGCCGCUCGAAACGCAGCACCGUAUGGCGGGGGUCUGCGAUGUUACGUCCUUCUUUAACCAAACCCUUUAAAUACACAAAACUCGUCGAAAUAAAAAGUAAGCCUAUUUGUCUUCUUUGUUGUUUAUUUUAGACUUCAAAGUAGUCCGAAUUAAAGUUGAGCAGCCAUUGGUUAAGAAUUCAGUGUUUUAUCAAAUAUGCCCCCCC